UUCUCUGUUCCUCCUGCAAAGCAGGGGGAUGAGAGUCCCAAACAUUAGAUUUGACUGAUAGCUGAUGCUUUUUAAACCAUGAAAAUCCUUCUAAAAUAAAUACAGACUAUAGGCUUAUAUUAUUUCUGAACGAUCUUUUAUUCUUGAAUGUUUUUUCUCCAUCAUAACCGAUACAUUCAACACACAGCUGCUCACAGGGGCGGACUGGCAUACGGGACUACCGGGGAUUUCCCGGUGGGUUAGUGGGCCGAUGGUUCAGCCCGUGGAGGUUCUGUCUCUCGGCCCCGUAGUCACUCAGGCAGCACACUCUUGUUUUGCGGCGCCACGAUGCCUCAACGACUUCCCUACCUCUCCUCCCUCCUGUCAGGCAGAUCUGCUCAGCGCGCUGCCGCGGAGUGGACCCGGAAACACAUGAACGAGCGCCGCAGGGCCGACCGGCUGACAGUGAGCAGCGGCCAUCAGAACCACUGGUCCCAUAAAGCCCGGCCUACGAAAACAAAACGCCUCUGAGGCGCUUAAAACUCAGCAGUCAUGAAUCACAAAUGCCUUGUCCCUAACUAGUGCCACAUAAAUGAAAUCUUCCUGUUCAUCUCUCCAUCCAACAGAGACAUGCGCAGUGCUGUGGCUCUAGCUCGUCAUGUCGUUCCUCCGCGGAGCGUUACCUGUCAAUCACGGACGCUAUAAGCCACAUUAAAUAGGUCCAUUAGAGCUGCGUGAAGCUGACCCCCACCCACGUGAACAAUUCCAGCCAAUAGAUUGAGCGGUUAGUGCAGUUUAUUUAUGGUUGGCAAGGAAAUUGGUGCAUUACCAUCACCGACUGGUUUGGAGUUUGGACCAGAAUGUCACUCAAGUAUUUUGUUUAUUGAUCAGUGAUAUCAGUGCUCUGCAGCUCCCUCUCCUGGUGGGUCUCCUGUACUCGCAGAUUCAUCUUCCAUCCCUUCAACUUCAGCCAGGAGGCCUGCAGCAAGUUUCCCACCUUAGGAAGGGAAAAACCCCUUGCCUUACUUCAUCUCCAGAUCUCACUCCUUCCUGUUUCUUUCCAGUGCUGAGCUUCAAUAUUAGAGCUAAAUUUCCAUAAGGAGAAUCCUCAACACUGAUGUUUAACUUUUGUUUAUGUACAUGUUAUUUAUGUAACAUAAUGAGAAUUAUUAUUUGAAAUAAUCUGUUUUGUUUCUUAUA